rnacentral:rRNA from 1 species
GCAGUGGAGCAUGUUAUUUAAUUCGAUAAUCCACGAUAAAUCUUACCAUAUUUUGAAUAAUUAUAUUAUUAAUUUAAUAUAAUUACAGGCGUUACAUCGUUGUCUUCAGUUCGUGCCGCAAGGUCUUAGAUUAAGUUCAUUAACGAACAUAACUCCAUAUAUAUAUUAUUUAAUUAUAUAUAAUUAUUUAUAUUAAUGAUAUAAAUGAAAGGAAUUAAGACAAAUCAUGAUGAUCCUAAUAAUAUGGGUAAUAGACGUGCUAUAAAAUAAUAUUAAUAAAGUUAUAAUAAUUAUUUAAUUAAUUAAUUAAUUAAUAACAGAAAAUAUUAUAAUUUUUAAUACAUUUUUGUAUUAUAUAUAGUAUGGAUUAUAAUCUGAAACUCGAUUAUAUGAAAAAAGAAUUGCUAGUAAUACGUAAUUUAUCAUAUUACGGUGAAUAUCCUAACUGUUUCGCACUAAUCACUCAUCACGCGUUGAAACAUAAUACUAUCCGAAUAUAUAAUUAAUAUAGUAAUAUUAUUAAUCUUUAUUAAUAUAAAAACUAUCCAGUUUUAUUAUUAUUAUAUUUAUUAAUAUAAGAAGUAUUA